rnacentral:antisense_RNA from 1 species
CAGUAAUAAACCAGCUGUGUUAGAAAUGGAUCACUUAUCAGUGCGUGCCCAAGCCUCCUAAUGCCUCAUGAUGUUUAAUAAUUAAAUUGUGACACCUUGAACUUGCAGCUGACACCAUGAAUCACAGUGGAAUUCUCCAAGUGGAAUGCAGCCACACCUCAGCUUCUGUGCUGCGUGCUGCCACUGAGGACGUUCGAUACCAUUGAAGCCGUCAGAUAGAGGCCAUAUUUCAAAAGGUCUACGGUGGCUCCGUUUCUUCUCUGAGACUUCAAAAGUCCUUCAAGAGUGAGUUCCCCUCUCAUUCUAUGUCCAGGAUGAAGACGGAUGGCCUCUUGGCACCCAUCUCUUUGGCAUGAACGAUGUGGGGAAACGUGAAUGGAAAUGGGGAACUGUUGCUGGCACCCAGAAGUCAUCCGGUCCGGAUGAAGCCAAGUCACACGGAAGUGCCUCCAAUUAUUCUUCAUAAAUUCCUCUGAGGUUUCACUUCUUGUCCACACAAGACUUUAAUAAAAUGUGGCAUCUAACUGAAUAAAGACUAUCCUUUCAGG